AUUUUCUCAAUUACCCUGACUGUGCUAGAUCAAAAAUGGCCAUAAAUUUUUUUCAGCCUCUCCCAUGAAAAGCUGGUGUGCCUUUCUCCUCCCUUCAAAUCUGGGCUGGCUUUGUAAAUUGCUUUGACCAGUAAAAUGUAGUGGAAGUGAUGUAUGACUUCUCAGCAAGUUCUUAAGAGGUCUUGCAGUUGUUGCUCCUUUCCAUUUGGAAUGUUUCUCCACCAUACUACAAAUUGAGCAGUCCUGCCAGAUUGGCUGUGUGGAAGAGGUAAUUAGCGUUGGUGUUCAUCAUCUCUACGGAGUCUUUGCAGUGGGGAUGGUUUGAGUGGGAACUGGCAAUGUGGCAGUUAGCAGAAGUGACUCUCCAGGGGAGCUAAAAUCCAUGUAUUUGGGCACACACUUGAACAAUAUUGCUAGAGAAAUUUAAGCAAGAGCACAAAGGCACUACGUUGUCUGGGAUGAUGGAAGGAGCUAAAGUCUUCAGUGAAUGAAGGAGCAGGACCAGGAGCUCAAAAUACUUCUUUGAAGACAAAGAAGAAAUGAUAUUACCAAAUGGUUGGCUCAAAAGAACAGGGAUUUUGCAACAGAGAGAGUAUGUCAUGGUCUUGAACAAGCAAUGGUGCCCAUCGUCAUCCAGAUCUGGAAUUGCUCCCAAUGUAUAAACCAGUGCAAAGACUCCCUUGUAUAUGAGUUUAUUCUGAACAGCUAAAGAUUUGUAACUAUGGAAACCAAAGUGCAAAAAUAAUUAGUGGGCUUAAAAAAAUAAGUUAUUUAUUAAUCAUAUUGUCUUCAGGUAAUUUACACACACAGUCUAACUGACCAUAACAGUGAAUAGCUCUUUAUGGUCUCUGAUGAAAAGUAAACAUAAUGACCAUGAAUUUUUGUUAAAGGCCAGGUAGAUUCAGGUGUAUUUAAUUACAUGUCCAGCUCUUAAUAAGCUCCACCAACAGAGAAAUGAAAUUAUAUGGAUAAAUAAAAUAAAACUAUAUUUUCACAAAUAGCUAAAUUCCCUUACCUUUUGUUAGCACUUCCCAUCCUCAAGACAAAGGACACAAGCAAAAACCCCAAACCUUUUGCCUUUUUCAUAAACCAAUUCUAGACUGACUGAUUUGAGUUUUCUUUUCAAGUCAUUCCCAAGUGUUUUCAGUGAAGGUUUCAGACAACAAUAAAUCAGUCUGCCAUUUAGAAAGCAAAGGAACCUAACAUGAGGGAGGGGGGCCGGAGAGGAAAGUGUUACAGUCUUCUAGGGUGUUGUGGCAGGCAGCUUCUGACUGGCUUCCGAUAAUCACUGCCUCCUGGGACCCACACUUCUGUGUAAUUUCCUCCCCUUGAGUACAAUCUGGACUUAGGGACUUGCUUGUAAAAAACAGAAUGGGGUAAAAGUGUGAGGAUGUUGCUUUCAUGAUUGGGUUAUAAAAAAUGAUGUCCUCCAUCUGCCAGCAUUGUCUUUCUCACUAGACUAUCUCUAGCUCUCUCACCUGCUCUCUCUCUCUGAUUGAAGCCAGCUGCCAAGUUGUGAGAUGCUCUCUGGAAAGGCCUAUAUGGCAAGCAACUAAGGGAGGUCUUCAGCUCCUGAGUAACUGAGCCCUCAAUCCAACAAUGUUCAAAGAAUUGAUUCCUGCCAAUAGCCAUGUGGGUGAUCUGAGAAUCAGAUCCUCCCCAGUCAAGCCUUCAAGUAAGACUGCAGCCCUGGCUGAAUCUUUAACUGUGGCCUUGUGAGAAACUCUAAUGCAGAGAACUCAGCUAAGCUGUGACCAGAUUCAUAAUCCACAUAAAUUGUAUUAUAAUAAAUACAUGUUGUUUUAAGCUAUGCUUGGGAGUAAUGGGUUACACAGUAAUAUGUAAUUAAUACAGGAGCUUUCAAAUUACUCUAAGUGUGCUCACUGCCCACCCUUUAUCCUAGUAACUUGGCACAGCACCAUAGAUUUUGAAACAUUUGACCAUCCUCCCUAGUAUGAUCAACUCUCCCAUUCUUAUCUUCUAUUUAUUUGAAAGCCAAUGGCUCACCUUUAUAC
rnacentral:lncRNA from 1 species